rnacentral:rRNA from 1 species
UGAAAUCUCUGGGCUCAACCCGGAAACUGCAUCCGAUACUGCUGCGCUAGAGUAAUGGAGGGGUAGCUGGAAUUCUCGGUGUAGCAGUGAAAUGCGUAGAUAUCGAGAGGAACACUCGUGGCGAAGGCGAGCUACUGGACAUUUACUGACGCUGAGGCACGAAGGCCAGGGUAGCGAAAGGGAUUAGAUACCCCUGUAGUCCUGGCAGUAAACGGUGCGCGUUUGGUGUGGGAGGAUUCGACCCCUUCCGUGCCGGAGCUAACGCGUUAAACGCGCCGCCUGGGAAGUACGGCCGCAAGGCUAAAACUCAAAGAAAUUGACGGGGACCCGCACAAGCGGUGGAGUAUGUGGCUUAAUUCGAUGCAACGCGAAGAACCUUACCCAGGCUUGACUUGCUCGUCAUACCCUCCCGAAAAGGAGGGGUCGGUUCGGCCGGACGAUGCACAGGUGCUGCAUGGCUGUUGUCAGCUCGUGUCGUGAGAUGUUUGGUUAAGUCCAGCAACGAGCGCAACCCCUGUGAACUGUUGCCAGCACGUAAAGGUGGGGACUCUGUUCAG